rnacentral:rRNA from 1 species
AUGAACGCUGGCGGCGUGCUAAUACAUGCAAGUCGAACGAGGUGCUUUUGUAGCAAUACGAAAGUAUCCUAGUGGCGAACGGGUGAGUAACGCGUUGGUGACCUACCCCAAAGUGUGGGAUAACAGUCCGAAAGGAUUGCUAAUACCGCAUGUGGUCAUUGGAUUUAGAAACUGAUGACUAAAGGAGCAAUUCGCUUUGGGAGGGACCUGCGUCCCAUCAGCUAGUUGGUGAGGUAACGGCUCACCAAGGCGACGACGGGUAGGGGACCUGAGAGGGUGGCCCCCCACAAUGGAACUGAAACACGGUCCAUACACCUACGGGUGGCAGCAGUAGGGAAUAUUGCACAAUGGGCGAAAGCCUGAUGCAGCAACGCCGCGUGUGCGAUGAAGGCCUUCGGGUCGUAAAGCACUUUUCUGAGAGAUGAGAAAGGACAGUAUCUCAGGAAUAAGUCUCGGCUAACUACGUGCCAGCAGCCGCGGUAAAACGUAGGAGGCGAGCGUUAUCCGGAUUCACUGGGCGUAAAGCGCGUGCAGGCGGUUCGGUAAGUUGGGUAUGAAAUCUCCUGGCUUAACUAGGAGAGGUUAUCCAAUACUACCGGACUAGAGAGUGGUAGAGGAAGAUGGAAUUCCCGGUGUAGUGGUGAAAUGCGUAGAUAUCGGGAGGAACACCAGUGGCGAAAGCGAUCUUCUGGACCAUUUCUGACGCUCAGACGCGAAAGCUAGGGUAGUAAACGGGAUUAGAGACCCCGGUAAUCCUAGCCGUAAACGAUGUAAACUUGGUGUCGGUGGCUUUAAC